AUACGUAGGGGACGAGCGUUGUCCGGAAUUACUGGGCGUAAAGGGCGCGCAGGCGGAUAUUUAAGUCAGCUGUAAAAGGCAUGAGCUCAACUCAUGUAUGCGGUUGAAACUGGGUAUCUAGAGUGCUGGAGAGGUAGGCGGAAUUCCCGGGGUAGCGGGGAAAUGCGUAGAUAUCGGGAAGAACACCAGUGGCGAAGGCGGCUUACUGGCCAGCAACUGACGCUGAAGCGCGAAAGCCAGGGGAGCGAACGGGAUUAGAUACCCCGGUAGUCCUGGCCGUAAACGAUGAAUGCUAGGUGUGGGUGUCGAGAGGCAUCCGUGCCGGAGUUAACGCGAUAAGCAUUCCGCCUGGGGAGUACGAUCGCAAGAUUGAAACUCAAAUGAAUUGACGGGG
rnacentral:rRNA from 1 species